UACGUAGGGUGCAAGCGUUAAUCGGAAUUACUGGGCGUAAAGCGUGCGCAGGCGGUUUUGUAAGUCUGACGUGAAAUCCCCGGGCUCAACCUGGGAAUUGCGUUGGAGACUGCAAGGCUGGAGUUUGGCAGAGGGGGGUAGAAUUCCACGCGUAGCAGUGAAAUGCGUAGAGAUGUGGAGGAAUACCGAUGGCGAAGGCAGCCCCCUGGGUCAAGACUGACGCUCAUGCACGAAAGCGUGGGGAGCAAACAGG
rnacentral:rRNA from 1 species